UACGGAGGGUGCAAGCGUUAUCCGGAUUUACUGGGUUUAAAGGGUGUGUAGGCGGACUUUUAAGUCAGCGGUGAAAUCUCCGGGCUCAACCCGGAAACUGCCAUUGAUACUAUUGGUCUUGAAUGUUGUUGAGGUGGGCGGAACGGGUCAUGUAGCGGUGAAAUGCAUAGAUAUGACCCGGAACACCGAUUGCGAAGGCAGCCCACUAAGCAACGAUUGACGCUGUGGCACGAAAGCGUGGGGAUCAAACAGG
rnacentral:rRNA from 1 species